rnacentral:rRNA from 1 species
CCAAUAGCGUAUAUUAAAGUUGCUGCAGUUAAAAAGCUCGUAGUUGAAUUUCGGGACUAAUAUGUCAGUCGACGGUCGUGCCUCGGUACGUACUGGUAUUUUUGGUUUCUCCCUUCUGACGAACCAUGAUGUCAUUAAUUUGGUGUCUUGGGAAAUCAGGACUGUUACUUUGAAAAAAUUAGAGUGUUUAAAGCAGGCUCACGCUUGAAUACAUUAGCAUGGAAUAAUGAAAUAGGACGUUUGAUUCUAUUUUGUUGGUUUCUAGGAUCGACGUAAUGAUUAAUAGGGAUAGUUGGGGGCAUUAGUAUUCAAUUGUCAGAGGUGAAAUUCUUGGAUUUAUUGAAGACUAACUACUGCGAAAGCAUUUGCCAAGGAUGUUUUCAUUAAUCAAGAACGAAAGUUAGGGGAUCGAAGACGAUCAGAUACCGUCGUAGUCUUAACCAUAAACUAUGCCGACUAGGGAUCGGAUGAUGUUAAUUUUUUAAUGACUCAUUCGGCGCCUUACG